GCGCGCGCAUCGCAGCGUUGCAACUUGCAGGAACCGCAUCACCCGCAUUGGUGGCUUCGCGUGCCCCACCAAUGCCACGCCGACAAGCUCUCGAGCUCGGAGGAGAUCUUAUCGGUGAAAUAGUGAUAUUCUGCAUCGGUUCGAUGAUAAUAAUAUUCGAAGUAAACCGCCAAGCAGCAAUCAAGGAGGCUAAGGCGUUGGAACACAAGUCGGAAUGGUUGUGUGUUAAGCUGUCCUUAGAGGAAUUGCAACGGGAAGUGCAGGCACAGCAGAUUGACCUGAACCGCCUGCAUGCUACU